CAGAGCGAGCGGCGGACGGGUGAGUAAUGUCUGGGAAACUGCCUGAUGGAGGGGGAUAACUACUGGAAACGGUAGCUAAUACCGCAUACCAUCAGAUGUGCCCAGAUGGGAUGAGCGAGUAGGUGGGGUAAUGGCUCACCUAGGCGACGAUUACUAGCUGGUCUGAGAGGAUGACCAGCAACACUGGAACUGAGACACGGUCCAGAAUCCUACGCGAGGCAGCAGUGGGGAAUAUUGCACAAUGGGCGCAAGUCUGAUACAGCCAUGCCGCGUGUGUGAAGAAGGCCUUCGGGUUGUAAAGCAAUUUCAGCGAGGAGGCGUUACUCGCAGAAGAAGCACCGGCUAAAUCAGUGCCAGCAGCCGCGGUAAUUC
rnacentral:rRNA from 1 species